GACGAACGCUGGCGGCGUGCCUAAUACAUGCAAGUCGAACGCACAGUUUAUACCGUAGCUUGCUCCACCAUAGACUGUGAGUUGCGAACGGGUGAGUAACGCGUAGGUAACCUGCCUGGUAGCGGGGGAUAACUAUUGGAAACGAUAGCUAAUACCGCAUAAUAUUAAUUAUUGCAUGAUAAUUAAUUGAAAGGUGCAAUUGCACCACUACCAGAUGGACCUGCGUUGUAUUAGCUAGUAGGUGAGGUAACGGCUCACCUAGGGUACGAUACAUAGCCGACCAGAGAGGCUGAGCGGCCACACUGAGACGGGGACACGGCCCAGACUCCUACGGGAGGCAGCAGUAGGGAACCUUCGGGAAUGGAAGAAAGGCUGAACGAUCAACGCCGCGUGAGUGAAGAAGGGUGUCGGAUCGUAAAGCUCUGUUGUAAGAGAAGAACGGGUGUGAGAGUGGAAAGUUCACACUGUGACGGUAUCUUACCAGAAAGGGACGGCUAACUACGUG
rnacentral:rRNA from 1 species